AUGAAAGGUUGUCUACAGAUGCACCCUUGGUGGGUUACCAAGGAAGAACCCCCAACUGUGUCUGCAAUGAAAAGAAAAGAAAGGAGAGAAGGAAAGAAAAAAAAAGGAAUGAAGGAGAGGAAGAAAAAGGAAGAAAAAGAGGGAGAGAGAACGGGAAUGUUGCUUUAUUCUAAAAGUCCUUAAAUUAACCACUUGGAGUUCUGCAUGAUAAUCCGUCACUCCUGCCACAAGAAGAAAAGGUGCCUCCACUUUCUGCAGUGUCCUUUUACCACCCUCUACUGUCAAGGGAGAAAGGUUUACAAGUUCUAGGAUUAUGACCAGGGCAAUGGAAGUGAGAGGAACAGUUUCCAGCUACCUUUGUUGACAUUUUCAAUUUGUCUCUGUAGGUCUUUCAAAUGUUGCCUGACCUGACUACGUGUAGGCUUUAUUAUUGAGAGCAUGUGCAUUUCAAAAUGUUGUAUCUUCUUGACCUAUUUUUGCGUUAACAAGUAUAAUGUUCAUAUACAGAUAUGGAUACAGAUAUAUAGAUAGGUGUUUUCCACUUUUAGCUCUAUAUUGUUUGUCCUUAAUAUUGUUACUCUGAUUUCUUUUACUUCAUAUUAAUCUGACACUUUUCCACUUUUUUUUUGCUUUGAACUUAACACAUCUUAUUUUAUGCAUAUCUCCCCUGAACAAAAGUGUUGGGUCUUAUGUUUUUCUUGAUAACCAAUUGAUAUUUUCUAUAUUUUAAUUAGUGAGUUAAAUCGUGUUUGAAUUCUGCAGUGACCAUUAUAGUUUGACGUAUCUACUUCAUUUUAUUUUAUAUUUUUCAUUUAAAUACUGUCUUCUGUUUUUAUAUUUUUUUCUGUAAUACAUUAGAUAAGUAGAUGAGAAGUAAUAGAAUAAUUAAUUUGAUCCAUUAAUGUCUACAGAGCAAACAUCAAACAUUAGAAAUGAAAAGACAAGAGAGGAAGGAGGGAGAGAAAGAAUGAGAUUUCUGGAACCACUCAGAACCAAAACUGUAAUUCAUAAUAAUGUUCUAGGGGAAUAAAGGAGGCUGUAGCAAAAGAGAAUGGAAGGAG
rnacentral:lncRNA from 13 species